rnacentral:lncRNA from 1 species
UCUCUGGGUACAAUAACUAAAACCUAAUCUUGUAAGCCUUAUUAAAGUCUGAUUCCUCCUGAUUUCCUACCAGGAAAUUCUAGCAGCUACAUCUUCCCCCUCUGCUGCCCCCUUCCAAAAGGACCUAACUCUCUCCUGCUUCCUCUUCCUCAGUCCAACCCACAAGUCCCGCCUACUUACCCAGUGAUUGGCUUCUUUAUUCAUUAGGGGAUUGGUUCACAAGAAGCCACCUGAGCAUGUGACUCAUUCCUCAUUCCAGACAGCAGAAUUAACAUAAAUAUUUAUAAUAAUAAUUUAAAAAAACCAAAACAAUGUUUUGUGCAGGAACCUAGAACCUUAGGCAGUUAUUCUUUGACUUAUUCCAAAUGGGAUGUGUUUUGCAAGGUUUUUAUUUGUUUGUUUGUUUGUUUUUGUAUGAAAUAAGUAUUUAAGAAUAAGUAAGAGAGAUGGCUCAGCAGUUCAGAGCACUGGCUACUCUUCCAGAGGACCUGGAUUAAAUUCUAGCAUCCAUAAGAGGUUCACAAACACCUGUAACUCUGGUUCCAAGGGCCUCAACACCAUCUUCUGGCCUCUGGGGCCACUGUAUGCAUGUAGUGCAUAGAAACAAAUGAAGGCAAAACACAUGUACACAUAAGAUAAUAAUCUCAAAAUGUUAUUAAUUGAGGAUUUCAUUUCUAAGUUGAACUGUUGACCUAGAGUUUAAAAAGUGUAGUUUGCAGGGGUAGAAAUGUAGAUUAGUGGGAGAAUGCCUGUCUUGCAUACACAGGCCUUGGGCUUAAUGCCUAUCACUGCUGUUUUAAAAUUUUGUUACUAUUUUGUGUAUAUGUCUGUGUGCUGGCACCCAUGUGCUACAUUGAACAUGGAGGUCAAAUGGUAGUUCUCAGGAGUCCGUGCAGGGAUGAAACUCAGAUUGUCGGGUUUGUGCAGCAAACAUCUUUACCCACAGAGCCCCCCCCCCCCCAAACAACUUUUCAAAUAAACUUGAAAUUGAGGAUAUUACAAUGUACCCACUGCUGGCCUAGCACAGGAUGGUCCCAGUCUUCCAAGUGCUAACAUUUAUAGUCCUUUACCUACAUCUAAUGCUGAAGGUAUUUCUCUAAAAGAGGAAUUAAAGAAAGCUCAGUGUUUCUUCAAGUUGUGAAUCUGUACUGCACCUACAUUUACUUGCUCGUGUGUGGGGAAUACAUGUUAUGACAUGCAUGUUGGAGGCAGGGUAAGACAACAUGCCAAAAUUGGUUCUUUCCUUUUAUCAUGUGGGUUCCAGGGAUCAAAGCACUGUUCCCUACUAAGCCAUCUCACCCUCACCCUUCCUGGAGGAGUUAUGAAUCAGCUAUUUAUCCAGUUACCAUUAUUAAGGGAAGUAUUAAUUAACUCAGUUUGUUCUAUAUCUUACUUUCCAGAUGUAGAUUCUCAUCGGAGGUAUCAUUUUACAGUUAAUUACUGGCUGGAUCUUUUUUUCCUGUCCAGAAUUUUAACUUUAAAACCUGUAGAAGAAAAUAUAAACAAGCCGGGCAGUGGUGGCGCACGCCUUUAAUCCCAGCACUUGGGAGGCAGAGGCAGGUGGGUUUCUGAGUUUGAGGACAGCCUGGUCUACAAAGUGAGUUCCAGGACAGCCAGGGCUACACAGAGAAACCCUAUGUCAAAGCCCUCCCCCCCAAAAAAAUAUAUAAACAAAUUCUAAAUCAGGUUGAGUCCAUAAACUUCCUUUAAAGGUGAGAAAAAAUAUUUGAGACAAUUACCUGGGAGCUGACUAACACUUUACUUGUUUCCUUUCAGUGGGAAGAUGUCUCAGGUAAGGUCAGUCCAAUGACCACCUUAUUUUUUUUUUUUUGAGAGAAGGAUUAAAUGUGUAAACCACAACUUUUCAUAUUACUCAUGAACAAGCAAAG